rnacentral:rRNA from 1 species
AUACGUAGGGGACGAGCGUUGUCCGGAUUUACUGGGCGUAAAGGGCGCGUAGGCGGUCAUUUAAGUCAGCUGUGAAAUGGUUUGGCUUAACCGGAUCAUGCGGUUGAAACUGGAUGACUGGAGUGCUGGAGAGGCAAGUGGAAUUCCUAGUGUAGCGGUGAAAUGCGUAGAUAUUAGGAGGAACACCAGUGGCGAAGGCGGCUUACUGGACUGUAACUGACGUUGAGGCUCGAAAGCGU